rnacentral:lncRNA from 1 species
UAACCUAAAUAAUAAGAACUUCCCCCUUGACAGUGGUAUAUGUUGUAUAUGUAAAUCCUAGAUGUGAAAAUAUAUGGAAUUCCUCUAUGAAAGGUAAAAAAAAUGCAAAGAAAAGAAUAGGCUAGGCAUAAAUCGAUAUGCUGAAAUUUAAAUAAAAAAUAAAUAAGAAGAGGAGCCCAUUAGAUACAAAUAAUGAAUCAUAA